rnacentral:rRNA from 1 species
UACGGGGGGGGUAAGCGUUGUUCGGAAUUACUGGGCGUAAAGGGCGCGUAGGCGGCGUGUCAAGUCAGGCGUGAAAGCCCCGGGCUCAACCUGGGAACCGCGCUUGAGACUGGCAUGCUCGAGUUCGGGAGAGGAUGGUGGAAUUCCCAGUGUAGAGGUGAAAUUCGUAGAUAUUGGGAAGAACACCGAUGGCGAAGGCAGCCAUCUGGACCGACACUGACGCUGAGGCGCGAAAGCGUGGGGAGCAAACAGG